GAUGAACGCUGGCGGCGUGCCUAAUACAUGCAAGUCGAGCGAACAGACGAGGAGCUUGCUCCUCUGACGUUAGCGGCGGACGGGUGAGUAACACGUGGAUAACCUACCUAUAAGACUGGGAUAACUUCGGGAAACCGGAGCUAAUACCGGAUAACAUGUUGAACCGCAUGGUUCAACAGUGAAAGACGGUCUUGCUGUCACUUAUAGAUGGAUCCGCGCCGCAUUAGCUAGUUGGUAAGGUAACGGCUUACCAAGGCAACGAUGCGUAGCCGACCUGAGAGGGUGAUCGGCCACACUGGAACUGAGACACGGUCCAGACUCCUACGGGAGGCAGCAGUAGGGAAUCUUCCGCAAUGGGCGAAAUCCUGACGGAGCAACGCCGCGUGAGUGGAGAAGGUCUUCGGAUCGUAAAACUCUGUUAUUAGGGAAGAACAAAUGUGUAAGUAACUAUGCACGUCUUGACGGUACCUAAUCAGAAAGCCACGGCUAACUACGUG
rnacentral:rRNA from 1 species